AUUGAACGCUGGCGGCAGGCUUUACACAUGCAAGUCGAGCGGGGUGAUGGUGCUUGCACUAUCACUUAGCGGCGGACGGGUGAGUAAUGCUUAGGAAUCUGCCUAUUAGUGGGGGACAACAUCUCGAAAGGGAUGCUAAUACCGCAUACGUCCUACGGGAGAAAGCAGGGGAUCACUUGUGACCUUGCGCUAAUAGAUGAGCCUAAGUCGGAUUAGUUAGUUGGUGGGGUAAAGGCCUACCAAGGCGACGAACUGUAGCGGGUUUGAGAGGAUGAUCCGCCACACUGGGACGGGGGCACGGCCCAGACUCCUACGGGGGGCAGCAGUGGGGAAUAUUGGACAAUGGGGGGAACCCUGAUCCAGCCAUGCCGCGUGUGUGAAGAAGGCCUUAUGGUUGUAAAGCACUUUAAGCGAGGAGGAGGCUCUUUUGGUUAAUACCCAAGAUGAGUGGACGUUACUCGCAGAAUAAGCACCGGCUAACUCUGUGCCAGCAGCCGCCGUAA
rnacentral:rRNA from 1 species